rnacentral:rRNA from 1 species
AUGAACGCUGGCGGCGUGCCUAAUACAUGCAAGUCGAGCGAACAGAUGAGGAGCUUGCUCCUCUGACGUUAGCGGCGGACGGGUGAGUAACACGUGGAUAACCUACCUAUAAGACUGGGAUAACUUCGGGAAACCGGAGCUAAUACCGGAUAAUAUAUUGAACCGCAUGGUUCAAUAGUGAAAGACGGUUUUGCUGUCACUUAUAGAUGGAUCCGCGCCGCAUUAGCUAGUUGGUAAGGUAACGGCUUACCAAGGCAACGAUGCGUAGCCGACCUGAGAGGGUGAUCGGCCACACUGGAACUGAGACACGGUCCAGACUCCUACGGGAGGCAGCAGUAGGGAAUCUUCCGCAAUAGGCGAAAGCCUGACGGAGCAACGCCGCGUGAGUGAUGAAGGUCUUCGGAUCGUAAAACUCUGUUAUUAGGGAAGAACAAAUGUGUAAGUAACUAUGCACGUCUUGACGGUACCUAAUCAGAAAGCCACGGCUAACUACGUG